GAAGCGGAAGCGGCCCGGCGGGGCGGCUCGGUCCGGCCCCAUUGCCGCCGCGAGCGCCAAACAUGCAACAUGGCAGCAGCCAUGGAAACUGAACAGCCGGGCCUCGAGAUCUUUGAAACUGCAGGCAGAGAGGAGCAGGUCCAGAGGGAGGAACAGCCCAAACUGGAACCUUUCUAUGUAGAGAGACAUUCCUGGAGCCAGCUUCGGAAACUGCUCACAGACACACGGAAGUAUCAUGGCUACAUGAUGGCAAAAGCCCCUCAUGACUUCACGUUUGUGAAGAAAAAUGAUCCUGAAGGACCUCAUUCUGAUAGGAUCUACUAUCUUGCAAUGUCUGGUGAGAACAGGGAGAACACGCUCUUCUACUCUGAGAUUCCCAAAACCAUAAACAAAGCUGCAGCUCUGUUGCUUUCCUGGAAGCCUCUUCUGGAUCUUUUUCCGGCCAUCUUGGACUAUGGGAUGUACUCUCGUGAAGAGGAGUUGCUGCGGGAGAGGAAGCGGAUUGGCACCAUAGGGAUCGCCUCUUAUGAUUACCACCGGGAAAGCGGCACCUUCCUGUUCCAGGCAGGGAGUGGAAUUUAUCAUGUAAAAGAUGGAGGCCCUCAUGGAUUCACUCAACAGCCUUUAAGACCUAUUCUGGUAGAGACCAGUUGUCCAAAUAUCCGCAUGGAUCCCAAGCUUUGUCCAGCUGAUCCAAAUUGGAUUGCAUUUAUCCACAGCAAUGACAUCUGGAUAUCUAAUAUAGAAACAAGAGAAGAAAGGAGGCUAACAUUUGUGCACCAUGAGCUGGCAAAUGUUGAGGAUGAUCCAAAAUCUGCUGGUGUGGCAACUUUUGUGCUGCAGGAGGAGUUUGACAGAUACACUGGCUACUGGUGGAGCCCAAAGGCACAGCCAACACUGAAUGGGGGUAAAGUUCUUCGAAUCCUUUAUGAAGAAAAUGAUGAGUCAGAGGUGGAAAUUAUUCAUGUCACAUCACCCAUGCUGGAGACAAGAAGAACAGAUUCCUUCCGGUACCCCAAAACUGGUACAGCAAAUCCAAAGGUCACUUUCAAGCUCUCAGAAGUGACAAUCAAUGCGGAAGGCAGAAUUGCAGAUGUUGUGGAUAAAGAGCUAGUUCAGCCGUUCGAGAUCCUCUUUGAAGGAGUAGAGUACAUUGCUAGAGCUGGGUGGACGCCAGAAGGAAAAUACAUCUGGUCCAUCUUACUGGAUCGCUCCCAAACUCGACUUCAGAUCGUCCUGAUCCCUCCUGCAUUAUUCAUCCCCACAGAAGAUGAUGCAAUGGAAAGACAGAAACUUAUCGAUGCUGUACCAGAUUCUGUUACACCUUUCAUUAUUUAUGAAGAGACAACAGACAUCUGGAUAAAUAUCCAUGAUAUCUUCUAUGUCUUCCCUCAAACCCAUGAAGAUGAGAUAGAGUUCAUUUUUGCCUCUGAGUGUAAAACAGGAUUCCGGCACCUCUACAAAGUCACCUCGGUUUUGAAGGAGAGCAAAUAUAAGCGGUCUUGUGGAGGCCUCCCUGCUCCAAGUGACUUCAAGUGCCUCAUCAAAGAGGAGAUAGCGAUUACCAGUGGGGAAUGGGAAGUGCUUGGCAGACAUGGAUCCAAUAUCUAUGUUGAUGAAGCCAAAAAACUGGUGUACUUCCAAGGCACAAAAGACUCACCUUUAGAGCAUCACUUGUACGUUGUUAACUACGAGAAUCCAGGAGAAAUAAAGCGGCUGACGGAACGCGGUUACUCUCACGCCUGCUGUGUCAGCCAGGAUUGUGACAUGUUCAUCAGCAAGUACAGUAAUCAGAAGAACCCACACUGUGUGUCACUUUACCGCCUGACAGGACCUGAAGAUGGUGCAGCCCACAGGACAAAGGAAUUCUGGGCUACCAUUUUAGAUUCAGCAGGCCCUCUUCCUGAUUACAUUCCCCCAGAAGUGUUCUCCUUUGAGAGCUCCACGGGAUUUACGCUCUAUGGGAUGAUGUACAAACCUCACAACCUGCAACCUGGAAAGAAGUACCCCACUGUGCUCUUCAUCUAUGGAGGUCCUCAGGUACAGCUCGUGAACAAUCGGUUCAAAGGAAUCAAGUAUUUCCGUUUGAACACUUUGGCCUCUUUAGGCUACGUUGUUGUUGUCAUUGACAACAGGGGGUCCUGCCACCGAGGCCUGAAGUUUGAAGGAGCCUUUAAAUACAAAAUGGGACAAAUAGAAAUCGAUGACCAAGUGGAGGGGCUGCAGUAUUUGGCAUCACAGCAUGACUUCAUUGAUUUGGAUCGUGUUGGCAUUCAUGGCUGGUCCUACGGAGGCUACCUCUCUCUUAUGGCUUUAAUGCAGAGGUUGCCAUUGCUGGAGCACCCGUGACGCUGUGGAUUUUCUAUGACACUGGUUACACAGAGCGCUACAUGGGCCACCCGGAUCACAACGAGCAGGGCUAUUACCUGGGCUCAGUGGCCAUGCAGGCGGAGAAGUUCCCUUCAGAACCGAACCGUUUGCUGCUGCUACAUGGAUUCUUGGAUGAGAAUGUUCACUUUGCACACACUAGUAUUCUGCUCAGUUUCUUGGUGAGAGCUGGGAAACCAUAUGAUUUACAGAUCUACCCUCAGGAGAGACACAGCAUAAGGGUGCCCGAGUCAGGAGAGCACUAUGAACUCCACCUCCUCUAUUACCUGCAAGAGAACCUGGGCUCUCAUAUUGCUGCCCUGAAGGCAAUGUAACUGACCUCUGCAGAACUCUGCUCCGCUGGCUGCUUCACCAGACAAGGAGACAUAGGAAACUAGAGAAAAUAGGAUGGAAUAUUGCAUUCUGGUGCCUGCCACAUGUACACACACAGACACUUUUUUAAGAGCAAAUUUGGUGCCAUACAGGAAAUGAAAGUCUAGUGACCUGAUAACUUGAAAGCUUAAGACGGAAAUAAAAGCAAACGUCUGGGGUAUGACACAGUACCAUGGGUGUUCUCUUGGGGGAGGAGCUGAAGCUGAAACCAACGUAUUUCUACAGCACCAGAUCUUCACUUUUUAAAAGAAUUGUGACACAGUUGACGUAUUUUUACAGUGUGUUCCUUGGUAUCUUAUUACAUAAUACUGGAUGAUUUACUCACUACCCAGCGAGGGUUUACCUAAGUGGUUCCAACUUGUAUUACAUUUAAAUGCUAUCAUAUAGCUUUUAUGCUUCGUGAAAGGGAUGUGUCUCACUCCUUAGAAGCUGGUCACAAGGUAGACACAUCACCUGUCUAGAUGUUAAUUGUUUUUUAAGAAGAAAGACUUAAGCUGCUUCCUAAGGAAUUGAAGUUCUGGAUUCAGUUCAGCUGAUGCCAGGUUCUUUUCAAUGAUUUCCUCUCUCCCCAGGAUAAAUCAUACUCUUCUUUCAGCAGCUUGAAAUCCUAUCCUGAUUGUACUUGAUUUCAGUGGGGAAGUGAAAAGAUAUUUUACUGUGAUACGGGCAUAACAAUCUUUUAUUCUGACAUGCAAACUAAUUUAAGUCAAAGAGCUGAAACUCUGUAGGUUUUAAAAUAAGCUUAAAAGUGCAGCUCAUUUCUCCCUGACAUUUUCCCUGGGGCUGGUUUUUGUAAUACUGUUUCUUCCCAUCAUUUUAGCAUGAUAUAGGUAUAUGCAUCCUGUUACAAUUUUAAAAGUCAGUACUCUAAUUCAAAGGUCUGCAGAGGAUUUGGGGAGGAGAGACCUUAUGAACACUACAUGUGAGGCAAUAUGAACUGCUUCAUUGAAUUUUAAGGGACUAUUUCCCAGGUUUGUUCUCUGUUCAGUGCUCCAGUCCUGGAUCCUUUCUACCACUGCUGUGUAGCAUGAUUACGAUGCUGUAUUUGAGAAACCCCCUUCUGUAUAGCUUCAAGUAACCCUGCUAAGCCUAAAGGAUAUUCAAUCCCAGUUGUGUUUUUGCUAGUCAGGUUUUAACUAAGCAGCAGGCUUGGCUAAAAAGCAUCAUAAGUGUGUGAAGUCACUUUUAACUUGCAACAGGUCGUUUAGGAUAGAAACCCAUAGUAAAAUGAUUCUCUUUAAUCCAGGAAAUUCUCCCCUUGGGGCUUGCCUCUGAGACUCCUAUAAGUUUUAAUGGUUUUCUUAGAAACCUAAGAACUUCCUUUUCUUUCUGUUUUGGUGCUAGAGAGAAGCAGAGCAUGAUUUUCUUUUCAUCUUUUGAAAAUCUGGAAUCACUCUCAGUGUUUACGCUCUUAGUACUCCACAUGUUGUAACCUUGUAUUUUCCUUGCUUUUGUACUCUUCAGCUUGAUCCUGAGACUCCAGGAUUUAACACAACCUGGCUGUUUUGUAUCAAAUUGCAUCGCUUUUCAGUUAGGCUGCUGGGCAUAUGCACCAAAGCUAUUGGAGCUGGUGCACUUAACAUGGUUGUAAAAUCUGUGUGUGAGAAUAGGAUCUGG